AUUGAACGCUGGCGGCAGGCUUAACACAUGCAAGUCGAGCGGAGAGAGGUAGCUUGCUACUGAUCUUAGCGGCGGACGGGUGAGUAAUGCUUAGGAAUCUGCCUAUUAGUGGGGGACAACAUUUCGAAAGGAAUGCUAAUACCGCAUACGUCCUACGGGAGAAAGCAGGGGAUCUUCGGACCUUGCGCUAAUAGAUGAGCCUAAGUCGGAUUAGCUAGUUGGUGGGGUAAAGGCCUACCAAGGCGACGAUCUGUAGCGGUCUGAGAGGAUGAUCCGCCACACUGGGACUGAGACACGGCCCAGACUCCUACGGGAGGCAGCAGUGGGGAAUAUUGGACAAUGGGCGGAAGCCUGAUCCAGCCAUGCCGCGUGUGUGAAGAAGGCCUUAUGGUUGUAAAGCACUUUAAGCGAGGAGGAGGCUACUUUAGUUAAUACCUAGAGAUAGUGGACGUUACUCGCAGAAUAAGCACCGGCUAACUCCGUGCCUGCAGCAGCCGCGGUAA
rnacentral:rRNA from 1 species